GUUUUUGCGCAGUGGCAGUAUCGUAGCCAAUGAGGUUUAUCUGAGGCGUGAUUAUUGCUAAUUAUUGCUAAUCGAUUAUGUGAUCCACUUUUGCGACCUUCUGACAAGCAAAAUCAGUGGGGAAG